rnacentral:rRNA from 1 species
GAUGAACGCUGGCGGCGUGCCUAAUACAUGCAAGUCGAGCGAACAGACGAGGAGCUUGCUCCUCUGACGUUAGCGGCGGACGGGUGAGUAACACGUGGAUAACCUACCUAUAAGACUGGGAUAACUUCGGGAAACCGGAGCUAAUACCGGAUAAUAUAUUGAACCGCAUGGUUCAAUAGUGAAAGACGGUUUUGCUGUCACUUAUAGAUGGAUCCGCGCCGCAUUAGCUAGUUGGUAAGGUAACGGCUUACCAAGGCAACGAUGCGUAGCCGACCUGAGAGGGUGAUCGGCCCCACUGGAACUGAGACACGGUCCAGACUCCUACGGGAGGCACCAGUAGGGAAUCUUCCGCAAUGGGCGAAAGCCUGACGGAGCAACGCCGCGUGAGUGAUGAAGGUCUUCGGAUCGUAAAACUCUGUUAUUAGGGAAGAACAAAUGUGUAAGUAACUAUGCACGUCUUGACGGUACCUAAUCAGAAAGCCACGGCUAACUACGUG